GUUAUAGAGACAAGCGACUAAGUGCACAUGGUGGAUGCCUUGGCGAUAUCAGGCGAUGAAGGACGUGGUAGCCUGCGAAAAGCUGCGGGGAGCUGGCAAACAAGCUUUGAUCCGCAGAUGUCCGAAUGGGGAAACCCGGCUCAUUGAGUCAUCCUUACCUGAAUACAUAGGGUAAGGAAGCGAACGCGGCGAACUGAAACAUCUAAGUAGCUGCAGGAAAAGAAAUCAACCGAGAUUCCCAAAGUAGUGGCGAGCGAAAUGGGAUCAGCCAGCAGGAUUUAGCAGUGUCGAUAGUGGAACGGAUUGGAAACUCCGGCCAUAGAGGGUGAUAGCCCCUUACACGAAAUCGGCAUUGUGGAACUAGGCUUGCGACAAGUAGGGCGGGGCACGUGAAACCCUGUCUGAACAUGGGGGGACCAUCCUCCAAGGCUAAAUACUCGAUAUCGACCGAUAGUGAACCAGUACCGUGAGGGAAAGGCGAAAAGAACCCCG
rnacentral:rRNA from 1 species